GACUGGUCCGAUGGCAGUGGACUUUAUAAUUAAUUGAUUACAGCCAAGYACAGAUUUCUUUGUUCUUUCUCCAAACCCACUGCUGCACUUGACUAGUCUUUU
ensembl:misc_RNA Y_RNA Y RNA